rnacentral:lncRNA from 1 species
GAUUAUCAAACCAUGGAAAAAUAUCAUACAAUAUCAUUCUUUUAGCAAACAAUCAAAACAAAUAUGAUUUUCAUGAUAAUCAUAUCAUACCGUACUAUGGGAAACUACCGUCCAAACAGACUCUAAGGCUCUUUCAAUUAUAAUAAUUGCAGUUCUAACCCAAAAUUACAUAAUAUAUUAGCAUGCCAAUUGAUGAAAAAUAUAUAUAUAUUAAGGAAGCACCAUACAAAAGGGAUUUUAUUUGUUCUUUUUUGUUAUUUGUUUGUAUUUUUGUCGAUGUAGGAUGAAACCUCCCAUGGUUUAUCAUGAUAUCACUAUCCACCACGAGAAUCGACAGCACAAGAUCUGCGGUGUGAAUCCAUCAAGUUGCUUGUAGUCCAAUCUUUUGAAUAUUACAAGUGAAAAAGCACUUCAUGAUGUUCCUAUUUUUGGGAGUCAGUAUGAGAAAGCACUUUGCCCAUAUCUUACUAAAAUCAAUUAUGAUCGUUCCCAUCAUCUUCUGAUUUCUUGGAGUCAAUUUUCGCCUUCUAUUUGAAGGUAUUGUUGCCGGAAAAUGGUAGGUUACCGUGAAAGAUCAAACCACCAAUGAAUUGGUAAAGGUGAACAUGAGAAGUUGGUUCAGUACUAUAUAGCUUGAUAAAGAUGAAAUGGGCGACUUUGCAGACUUUUGAUAUUUGGUAAAGAGGCAUUCAUAUUUCAUUAGCCUUACCCGUGUAUCACUAAAUUAUUUUGCUUAUUUUUAUUUUUAAAGUGUUUGUUAAAUAAUUUUUUAUUCCAAUUAUUAUUAUACUAAUUAGUUAUGGC